rnacentral:lncRNA from 1 species
GCCUAUUAUUAUUUUAAACUUUUGUUUGCCCAAGCAAAUGACUGCAUUGUGAGUCUUUGCCUCUCCUUCAACCUCAUUUCAAUUCUCUCACCCAUUCUUUCUCUCUUCUCUUCUCUUCUCUUCUCUACUUCUUCUUCUUCUUCUUCCCUUUUCUCACUCUGCACUCCAUCUUCUUUUCAAAACCCAUCCCAUCCAUCUCCUUUUCUUCUUCUCUCUUUUCCUUCCUUCUAAUUCCACACACUCAUACCACUUACCUUAAAGUAACCAUAAACAAACCAACACUGUUCUUAGCCCAACAAAAAAUAAAUACAAAUCUCUACUAUUUAUUAACUAUAUUUCCUUCUUUCUCCAUAAUAUAAUCAUUUCUGUUUUCCUUGUUUUCUGUUUUUUUU